UAGGGAAUAUUGGACAAUGGGGGCAACCCUGAUCCAGCCAUGCCGCGUGAGUGAAGAAGGCCCUCGGGUUGUAAAGCUCUUUUGUUGGGGAAGAAAAGCUUCAGGUUAAUACCUUGGAGUCCUGACGGUACCCAAAGAAUAAGCACCGGCUAACUUCGUGCCAGCAGCCGCGGUAAUACGAAGGGUGCAAGCGUUACUCGGAAUUACUGGGCGUAAAGCGUGCGUAGGUGGUUCGUUAAGUCUGAUGUGAAAGCCCUGGGCUCAACCUGGGAAUGGCAUUGGAUACUGGCGGUCUAGAGUGCGGUAGAGGGUAGUGGAAUUCCCGGUGUAGCAGUGAAAUGCGUAGAGAUCGGGAGGAACAUCCGUGGCGAAGGCGACUACCUGGGCCAGCACUGACACUGAGGCACGAAAGCGUGGGGAGCAAACA
rnacentral:rRNA from 1 species